rnacentral:lncRNA from 1 species
AUUGAAGUUGGUUGUUGUUUAAAAUCUGAUGUUUCCUGUUUUCUGGAACAUGCACGAGAAACUGAAAGUCCAAAGCUUGGGGAAAACCCCAACAAGGAAAUGUUUGGCUGUGAGGUCAUUUGGACUGCACUACAAAUACAGACGUGUGUGCGAUAGUCCGAAGCAUUUGUGAAGAGUUUUCCUCUGCAGACGACAGGAGAUUCAAGGUUCUCUGGUGAAAGUUUCAACAAGAAAAAGACAACAUGAACACGGUUCCCCUGAUCUUCAUCCUGAUUCUGGCUGUAUGCAGCAGCAGCCAGGGGGCUUCACCAUGCACCGCUCCCAGCCCUCAAUUACAGUACGACAACUUUGUCCAGAGACACAUCCUUCAAUCUGUAUUCAACAGGAACUCAGUUACAGCUUGGGAAAUCUACCUCAAAAAGAAAGACCUGUGGUGCAGAGAAAAAAUACAGAGCUUCCUGGAGACCAGUCAGAACGACAUCUGCACCGCCAGUGGACGUCGAGUUAUCAACGGUGGUAAUUUGUGUAUGAGCACCAACAACCGAUUGGUAUAUGACGUCCUUACCAACUUCUCCCGCUGUCAGAUUAAUGUAACUUCGAGACGAACUCGUGUGGUUGUGGCGUGUAACAAGGUGAACAAUCGCUGCCUUCCCGUCCACUUCGAGCGCUUCACCCACCAAACCCCAAGUAACUUACCUUGUUUGUAAACCAUUGUUAAGCGUGUUUGACUGUGUUUCUAUUGCAAUGCGGAACUAAAAAUGCAUCUUAAAAAAAAACACUGCUUGUAAAGGGGUCAAGUUGAAGACACUCAUCAUUUUGAGUAAAUGUAACUUUAAAAAAAACUAAAAAAAACAUUUAAUUUUUUUCAAUAAGUAAGUCUUUUUUUGAAUGUUCUUAUAAAAAUAUGUCUUGAGUUUUAUGUUAAGGCACAUGUGUCAAACUGGCCCUUUAGAGCACCCAUAGGCAACUGGUGGCUCGGGGGCCACAUGCGGCCCUCUGACUAAUUUUGUGUGGCUCCCAUUCGUGACGAUGGAAGUUAUAUGAAGAACAACAUAAUACACAAAACUCCAGAAACACAAAACGACAGCGAAAACACACAAAAUGUCAAGAAAAGUACAAAAAGUAACUCUCAAAAAUAAAAAAAAACACAAAAUGACA